UACGUAGGGUGCGAGCGUUAAUCGGAAUUACUGGGCGUAAAGCGUGCGCAGGCGGUUUUGUAAGCCAGGUGUGAAAGCCCCGGGCUCAACCUGGGAAUGGCAGUGGAUACUGGCAAGCUAGAGUGCGGUAGAGGGGUGUGGAAUUCCCGGUGUAGCGGUGAAAUGCGUAGAGAUUGGGAAGAACACCAGUGGCGAAGGCGACUUUCUGGCCUAUAACUGACGCUGAGGCGCGAAAGCGUGGGGAGCAAACAGG
rnacentral:rRNA from 1 species